CACAGAUGACACAUUUGGCGUUUUUUUUUUUUUUUUUUUUGCUGGUUUGUCGGUAGCAGCUCCUGAAACGCAAGACUGCCACACAUCUGUUCGACCAACGCCAGUUGAUCUGGAACACCGGCAAAUCCGCUAUUUUUUAUGGAAACAGGCAUUUCUUUUAUGUUUAUGUGGCUGCAGCUGAUGACGGCGACACUAGCAAUUCGUGUUAUAAAUCCACAUGCCGCUGCUCCUCGUCAGCAGGCCGGGUGAGAAGUAUGGUCUUCACCAAACCUCCACAGGAGCUGCUCAGCCGAGUUGCUGCCUUCACUCAGGCACAGAGGGUAUCCACGCACCUUCACGUGGUGCUUUCGGUGGCUCGUUACAAAUGAUGUGAGAUAUACGAAGUAGUAAGUGUAUCGUGUAUUUAAUAUCAUACUAGGCAGAUUUACUGCACUGCCAUUUACUACACAUUUACCCGUGUAUGGCUAUUGUCAGUACAUGUUGCUCGUAAACUUUCUUUAAGUGUGUAACAUUCACGAUGAUGUUGUUGAUGGUAACGUGUAUGAUUCCAGCGUACCUGACAGGCACUUUUGACUUUUUGUACACAGUUGAUUAUGUAAAGCCCCUCACAUUGCAUUUAUAAACAAGUUCACUGAUUGACUAUCCUGCAGUGCUGUUUUCCUGUAUCCCUGUUUCCUCCACUUUAAUAAAGUGUCCUGUGUUACAGUAA